UACGUAGGGGGCAAGCGUUGUCCGGAAUUAUUGGGCGUAAAGCGCGUGUAGGCGGCUCGUUAAGUCUGCUGUGAAAGUCCAAGGCUCGACCUUGGAAUGCCGGUGGAUACUGUCGAGCUUGAGUCCGGAAGAGGCGAGUGGAAUUCCUGGUGUAGCGGUGAAAUGCGCAGAUAUCUGGAGGAACACCGGUGGCGAAGGCGGCAUCCUGGACCGACACUGACGCUGAGGCGCGAAAGCUAGGGUAGCAAACGGG
rnacentral:rRNA from 1 species